AGCAGCCGCGGUAAUUCCAGCUCCAAUAGCGUAUAUUAAAGUUGUUGCAGUUAAAAAGCUCGUAGUUGAACUUCGGGAUCAAUGAAUCGGUCAUGCUUUAGUAUGUACUGGUUCUAUUGGUUCUCACCUUCUAAGGAACCAUAAAGUCAUUCAUUUGAUGUUGUGGGGAAUUAGGACUGUUACCUUGAAAAAAUUAGAGUGUUUAAAGCAGGCUAACGCUUGAAUACAUUAGCAUGGAAUAAUGAAAUAGGACAUCGCAUUCUAUUUUGUUGGUUUCUAGGAUCGAUGUAAUGAUUAAUAGGGAUAGUUGGGGGCAUUAGUAUUCAAUUGUCAGGGGUGAAAUUCUUGGAUUUAUUGAAGACUAAUACUGCGAAAGCAUUUGCCAAGGAUGUUUUCAUUAAUCAAGAACGAAAGUUAGGGGAUCGAAGACGAUCAGAUACCGUCGUAGUCUUAACCAUAAACUAUGCCGACUAGGGAUCGGAUGAUGUUGAUUUUUUAAUGACUCAUUCGG
rnacentral:rRNA from 1 species